rnacentral:misc_RNA from 1 species
UCCCUUGAACUGAAUUAAAAACUUAGCCGCUCAUUUUCAUGGCUUACAAAAGAAAAAUAAAAUGGAGAUAUCUAAAACUAUGGAUGUGAAUGAAGAAUGAAGGUGUUGUGAAGGUCUCCAAGCUGUUUCGAAGGUGUGAAUGGAUGUGUCGAAGCUGCUGCCUAAAGAUGAGCUUUAUAAUAAAAAACAUAAUCCCAAAGAUAAAACUGAACUUGGAAAAUUUUUGAAAUUCAAAAAGAUAGAUUCUUUGCUCUGCAAUCAUGACUAAUUUUCAGACACUUCCUUGCGAUUCUGUCUCUGACUUCUUCAGGAAAGUCGUAGCUCUACUUCUUAGCUUUCCAACGGAUACUCAUUUGCCCAAACCAGAAAUCUACAGCCCAAGUUAUGGGCCAAAAAUUGAAACCGAUUUCUGAUAGAGUAUCCAGCCCAUAAUGAAGACUUCAUUGCUGUUUUUUACAAUUAAAAUGGUCUUAUCUCGCUUCCAGCCCUUCACAACAAUUGUAGAGG